UACGUAGGUCCCGAGCGUUGUCCGGAUUUAUUGGGCGUAAAGCGAGCGCAGGUGGUUUAUUAAGUCUGGUGUAAAAGGCAAUGGCUCAACCAUUGUAUGCAUUGGAAACUGGUAGACUUGAGUGCAGGAGAGGAGAGUGGAAUUCCAUGUGUAGCGGUGAAAUGCGUAGAUAUAUGGAGGAACACAGGUGGCGAAAGCGGCUCUCUGGCCUGUAACUGACACUGAGGCUCGAAAGCGUGGGGAGCAAACAGG
rnacentral:rRNA from 1 species